rnacentral:rRNA from 1 species
ACGGGACUCUUCGGAGUUCAGUGGCGGACGGGUGAGUAACGCGUGAGAAUCUGCCUAGAGGAUGGGGACAACCACGGGAAACUGUGGCUAAUACCCAAUGAGCGGAGACGUUAAAGAUUUAUCGCCUCUAGAGGAGCUCGCGUCUGAUUAGCUCGUUGGUGGGGUAAAAGCCUACCAAGGCGACGAUCAGUAGCUGGUCUGAGAGGACAACCAGCCACACUGGGACUGAGACACGGCCCAGACUCCUACGGGAGGCAGCAGUGGGGAAUUUUCCGCAAUGGGCGAAAGCCUGACGGAGCAAUACCGCGUGAGGGAGGAAGGCUCUUGGGUCGUAAACCUCUUUUCUCAGGGAAGAAGAAAGUGACGGUACCUGAGGAAUCAGCCUCGGCUAACUCCGUGCCAGCAGCCGCGGUAAUACGGAGGAGGCAAGCGUUAUCCGGAAUUAUUGGGCGUAAAGCGUCCGUAGGUGGCUCUUCAAGUCUGCUGUCAAAGAGUGGGGCUUAACUCCAGAAAGGCAGUGGAAACUGAAAGGCUAGAGAGCCGUAGGGGUAGAGGGAAUUCCCGGUGUAGCGGUGAAAUGCGUAGAGAUCGGGAAGAACAUCGGUGGCGAAAGCGCUCUACUGGACGGUAUCUGACACUGAGGGACGAAAGCUAGGGGAGCGAAUGGGAUUAGAUACCCCAGUAGUCCUAGCCGUAAACGAUGG